GGUGUUUUGCUUGUGUUGGUUGGUUGGAUCCUUGCUCUGGCAACGACGUCCAUCCUCGCAUGCAUCUUCAGUCGGGUCUCGUGAUACGUGUUAUCUCGAGCUAUGGAUCGGUUUCCUGUGUUGCGUACCUCUAAAGAUGGCAANCNGUAGUCCCAACGUCCCACUUCNCCNUGCGUUGUCCCUUUNCGGGGGCGACGCGGGGUGAACCAUGAAGCAAUCUCUGCGUCCCACUCCGCCCACAUUAGGUUGUGGUCGUGGAUUGGUCCGCAGGGCAUUCGCUUGAGCUCUCGGAUGCGGUGCAUUAUACGCGGGCACGAGGACUCACGUCCUCUAUUUGCCCGAAAUAAAGCUUUCNUCGCUUAGUUGCGAACGAUUGCGAUCCCCGUUUCGAGCCCCC
rnacentral:misc_RNA from 1 species